AGAGUUUGAUCAUGGCUCAGGACGAACGCUGGCGGCGUGCCUAACACAUGCAAGUCGAACGGAGUUCUUACGGAUGAAGCUUCGGCCGAUGAAGUUUGAACUUAGUGGCGGACGGGUGAGUAACGCGUGAGCAACCUGCCUUACAGAGGGGGAUAACAGUCGGAAACGGCUGCUAAUACCGCAUGACAUAGGGAGAGGGCAUCCUUUCCUUAUCAAAGAUUUUAUCGCUGUAAGAUGGGCUCGCGU
rnacentral:rRNA from 1 species